rnacentral:rRNA from 1 species
AGAGUUUGAUCCUGGCUCAGAUUGAACGCUGGCGGCAUGCCUUACACAUGCAAGUCGAACGGCAGCACGGGAGCAAUCCUGGUGGCGAGUGGCGAACGGGUGAGUAAUGUAUCGGAACGUACCUUUCAGUGGGGGAUAACGUAGCGAAAGUUACGCUAAUACCGCAUAUUCUGUGAGCAGGAAAGCAGGGGAUCGCAAGACCUUGCGCUGAUUGAGCGGCCGAUAUCAGAUUAGCUAGUUGGUGAGGUAAAGGCUCACCAAGGCGACGAUCUGUAGCGGGUCUGAGAGGAUGAUCCGCCACACUGGAACUGAGACACGGUCCAGACUCCUACGGGAGGCAGCAGUGGGGAAUUUUGGACAAUGGGCGCAAGCCUGAUCCAGCCAUGCCGCGUGAGUGAAGAAGGCCUUCGGGUUGUAAAGCUCUUUCGGCCGGGAAGAAAUCGCAUGGGUUAAUACCCUGUGCGGAUGACGGUACCGGCAUAAGAAGCACCGGCUAACUACGUGCCAGCAGCCGCGGUAAUACGUAGGGUGCGAGCGUUAAUCGGAAUUACUGGGCGUAAAGCGUGCGCAGGCGGUUUUGUAAGACAGGCGUGAAAUCCCCGGGCUCAACCUGGGAACUGCGCUUGUGACUGCAAGGCUAGAGUACGGCAGAGGGGGGUGGAAUUCCGCGUGUAGCAGUGAAAUGCGUAGAUAUGCGGAGGAACACCGAUGGCGAAGGCAAUCCCCUGGGCCUGCACUGACGCUCAUGCACGAAAGCGUGGGGAGCAAACAGGAUUAGAUACCCUGGUAGUC